GACGAACGCUGGCGGCGUGCCUAAUACAUGCAAGUCGAGCGGUCUAUUUUAGUAGCUUGCUAUGAGAUAGGCAGCGGCGGACGGGUGAGUAACGCGUGGGCAACCUACCUUGUAGUCUGGGAUAACAGGUCGAAAGGCCUGCUAAUACCGGAUGAGCUCGCGGGGUCGCAUGGUCUUGCGAGGAAAGGGGGACCCGCUACAAGAUGGGCCCGCGUCCCAUUAGCUAGUUGGUGAGGUAACGGCCCACCAAGGCGACGAUGGGUAGCCGGCCUGAGAGGGUGGUCGGCCACACUGGAACUGAGACACGGUCCAGACUCCUACGGGGGGCAGCAGUAGGGAAUAUUCGGCAAUGGGCGAAAGCCUGACCGAGCGACGCCGCGUGAGGGACGAAGGUCUUCGGAUUGUAAACCUCUGUCUAGGGGGACGAGGAAGGACGGUACCCCUGGAGGAAGCCCCGGCUAACUACGUGCCAGCAGCCGCGGUAAUACGUAGGGGGCGAGCGUUGUCCGGAAUUACUGGGCGUAAAGGGCGUGCAGGCGGUCAUGUAAGUCAGGUGUGAAAGGCUAGGGCUCAACUCUAGUUGGUCGUCUGAUACUGUAUGGCUUGAGGGCAAGAGAGGGAAGUGGAAUUCCCGGUGUAGCGGUGAGAUGCGUAGAUAUCGGGAGGAACACCAGUGGCGAAGGCGGCUUCCUGGAUUGUACCUGACGCUCAUGCGCGAAAGCUGGGGGAGCGAACGGGAUUAGAUACCCCGGUAGUCCCAGCCGUAAACCAUGGAUGCUAGGUGUAGGAGGUAUCGGACCCUCCUGUGCGCGAGCUAACGCAUUAA
rnacentral:rRNA from 1 species